GACGAACGCUGGCGGCGUGCCUAAUACAUGCAAGUCGAGCGAAUCUUGAGGUGCUUGCAUCUCUUGGUUAGCGGCGGACGGGUGAGUAACACGUGGGCAACCUGCCUGUAAGACUGGGAUAACUUCGGGAAACCGGAGCUAAUACCGGAUAAUCCUUUUCCUCUCAUGAGGGAAAGCUGAAAGUCGGUUUACGCUGACACUUACAGAUGGGCCCGCGGCGCAUUAGCUAGUUGGUGGGGUAACGGCUCACCAAGGCGACGAUGCGUAGCCGACCUGAGAGGGUGAUCGGCCACACUGGGACUGAGACACGGCCCAGACUCCUACGGGAGGCAGCAGUAGGGAAUCUUCCGCAAUGGACGAAAGUCUGACGGAGCAACGCCGCGUGAGCGAUGAAGGCCUUCGGGUCGUAAAGCUCUGUUGUUAGGGAAGAACAAGUAUCGGAGUAACUGCCGGUACCUUGACGGUACCUAACCAGAAAGCCACGGCUAACUACGUGCCAGCAGCCGCCGUAACAC
rnacentral:rRNA from 1 species